GGACUACCGGGGUUUCUAAUCCUGUUUGCUCCCCACGCUUUCGCGUCUCAGCGUCAGUACCGUCCCAGCGAGCUGCCUUCGCCAUUGGUGUUCUUCCUGAUAUCUGCGCAUUUCACCGCUACACCAGGAGUUCCACUCGCCUCUUCCGGACUCAAGUUCGGCAGUAUCCACCGGCAUCCCAGGGUUGAGCCCUGGACUUUCACAGCGGACUGACCGGACCGCCUACACGCUCUUUACGCCCAAUGAUUCCGGACAACGCUUGCCCCCUACGUAUUACCGCGGCGGCUGGCAC
rnacentral:rRNA from 1 species